UCAUCUGCUUAACGAGCUUCAUUUUUGUUCAUACGUUCUAUCCGCCUUCAUCUUGGCUCAACGAGCUUCAUUUCCGAUCAUAGGUUCUAUCCGCCUUCACGAUAAAGGAAUGGUCACCUAUAAACAUUUUUAUAUAUUUACAUAUUUGUAUUGGAAUUCACCCAUUCCAUUCCGUUGUAUUUAUUUGUUUGCUCUGUAUUUUGAUGCUUAAAAUAGAGUGUUUGAGCAUCAAAGAUCAUGAACUGAUUCGUGUCAGCUACAUCAGCAGCAAACUCUUCAUUAGGACUGUAGAGUUGAUUUUUAAAAUUGCUGAACCCUGGAUAUCGAAGAUACAUACUAACAACAUUCUCGCAACAAUGACUGUUUGAACUUUAGAGGUAUGGCAACACUACACUGGGAAUACCUCUGCUUAUUUGUGAUUGUUGAUAAACUUUUCGAGCGAUGAUUGUAGAAGUCGAUUUAAUGGCAGAGAUUUCCUAC